rnacentral:rRNA from 1 species
CCUACAGGUAGCAGCAGUGAGGAAUAUUGGUCAAUGGGCUGGAGCCUGAACCAGCCAAGCCGCGUGAGGGAAGAAGGUACAGCGUAUCGUAAACCUCUUUUGUCAGGGAACAAAGGCGGGGACUAGUCCCCGGAUGAGUGUACCUGAAGACAAAGCAUCGGCUAACUCCGUGCCAGCAGCCGCGGUAAUACGGAGGAAGCUAGCGUUAUCCGGAUUUAUUGGGGUUAAAGGGUGCGAAGGCUGCCUGGUAAGUCAGCGGUAAAAGCCCGGGGAUCAACCCCGGCGAGCCGUUGAAACUGGCGGGCUGGAGUGGGAGAGAAGUACGCGGAAUGCGCGGUGUAGCGGUGAAAUGCUUAGAUAUCGCGCAGAACCCCGAUUGCGAAGGCAGCGUACCGGCUCCACACGGACGCUGAGGCACGAAAGCGUGGGUAUCGAACAGGAUUAGAUACCCUUGUAGUC